rnacentral:tRNA from 1 species
GGCUUCGUGCGGCUAAGGUCAAAAAAGCCUUUAGUCGCAUCGUGCUAAGCAGCGCGGGUUCGAUUCCCGCCGCAGCUG